AAGCGGCAACAGCUCAAAUUUGAAAUCUGGCGUCUUUGGCGUCCGAGUUGUAAUUUGCAGAGGGCGCUUUGGCAUUGGCAGCGGUCCAAGUUCCUUGGAACAGGACGUCACAGAGGGUGAGAAUCCCGUACGUGGUCGCUAGCCUCUACCGUGUAAAGCCCCUUCGACGAGUCGAGUUGUUUGGGAAUGCAGCUCUAAAUGGGAGGUAAAUUUCUUCUAAAGCUAAAUACUGGCCAGAGACCGAUAGCGCACAAGUAGAGUGAUCGAAAGAUGAAAAGCACUUUGGAAAGAGAGUUAAAAAGCACGUGAAAUUGUUGAAAGGGAAGCGCUUGCAGCCAGACUUGCCUGUAGUUGCUCAUCCGGGUUUCUACCCGGUGCACUCUUCUAUAGGCAGGCCAGCAUCAGUUUGGGCGGUUGGAUAAAGGUCUCUGUCAUGUACCUCCUCUCGGGGAGAACUUAUAGGGGAGACGACAUGCAACCAGCCUGGACUGAGGUCCG
rnacentral:rRNA from 1 species